rnacentral:rRNA from 1 species
UGGCUCAGGGCACGAACGCUGGCGGCGUGCCUAAUACAUGCAAGUCGAACGAACUCUGGUAUUGAUUGGUGCUUGCAUCAUGAUUUACAUUUGAGUGAGUGGCGAACUGGUGAGUAACACGUGGGAAACCUGCCCAGAAGCGGGGGAUAACACCUGGAAACAGAUGCUAAUACCGCAUAACAACUUGGACCGCAUGGUCCGAGUUUGAAAGAUGGCUUCGGCUAUCACUUUUGGAUGGUCCCGCGGAGCGUAUUAGCUAGAUGGUGGGGUAACGGCUCACCAUGGCAAUGAUACGUAGCCGACCUGAGAGGGUAAUCGGCCACAUUGGGACUGAGACACGGCCCAAACUCCUACGGGAGGCAGCAGUAGGGAAUNCUUCCACAAUGGACGAAAGUCUGAUGGAGCAACGCCGCGUGAGUGAAGAAGGGUUUCGGCUCGUAAAACUCUGUUGUUAAAGAAGAACAUGCCAACGAUCUGAGAGUAACUGUUC